CUCGUAGGCUGCCAACUAAGUCAGACGUGAAAUCCCUCGGCUUAACCGAGGAACUGCGUCUGAUACUGGAUGGCUUGAGAUCGGGAGAGGGAUGCGGAAUUCCAGGUGUAGCGGUGAAAUGCGUAGAUAUCUGGAGGAACACCGGUGGCGAAGGCGGCAUCCUGGACCGACACUGACGCUGAGGAGCGAAAGCCAGGGGAGACGAAACG
rnacentral:rRNA from 1 species